GUCCUGACUCUGAGGCAGGUCCUGACUCUGAAGCAGGUCCUGACUCGGAGACCGGCCCUGACUCCUCCGAGUCAGUACCGACCUCUGAGUUGACCAAAUUUAGAGGCCCAGCUAAGUGUG